rnacentral:rRNA from 1 species
GAUGAACGCUGGCGGCGUGCCUAAUACAUGCAAGUCGAGCGAACAGACGAGGAGCUUGCUCCUCUGACGUUAGCGGCGGACGGGUGAGUAACACGUGGAUAACCUACCUAUAAGACUGGGAUAACUUCGGGAAACCGGAGCUAAUACCGGAUAAUAUAUUGAACCGCAUGGUUCAAUAGUGAAAGACGGUUUUGCUGUCACUUAUAGAUGGAUCCGCGCCGCAUUAGCUAGUUGGUAAGGUAACGGCUUACCAAGGCAACGAUGCGUAGCCGACCUGAGAGGGUGAUCGGCCACACUGGAACUGAGACACGGUACAGACUCCUACGGGAGGCAGCAGUAGGGAAUCUUCCGCGAUGGGCGAAAGCCUGACGGAGCAACGCAGCGUGAGUGAUGAAGGUCUUCGGAUCGUAAAACUCUGUUAUUAGGGAAGAACAAAUGUGUAAGUAACUAUGCACGUCUUGACGGUACCUAAUCAGAAAGCCACGGCUAACUACGUG